rnacentral:lncRNA from 1 species
GGAGAUUUGAAAAUUUAUAAAGAAGAACAAUGUCCAUCCGACACCCGCGAAAGCACUCAAAAAAUCAUUGAAAUUUUGUAGUGCAUUGGUGCCUAAACAAAGAGUUGAUUACCAGUAAGGUAUCGCACUAGGACUGGGUCCACGUGAUGACGUGUCUGUGUCUGCCAUGUGCAUCACCAGUAACAAAUCUGAUCAGGCAGGCAUCUUGCCUUUACCUGUGAAACUACUGUAGGGCAUCGUAGUAGGAGCAGGAGUUCCCAUCUCCCAGUAAAGCUGCAAUGAAUCGGCUUCUAGGAGUUGUGGCUACUAAGGGCCUGUUUGGAUACACGCUCGUAAAUUUUAGGAUACUCGUAAAAUUUAGGAGCUAGAAAUUGGUAGUCAUAAAAUUUAUGAGUGGGCUGUUUGGAUGGAAUCAUAAUCUUUAGGAUGUUAGAGGGGAAAUAACUUUUGUACCCCUAAUUACUCCACCCAUGCUCUGUUUCUAGCGCCGUGGAGAGAGAAGGGGAGGGGCAACAGGGGUAAAGGAUGGGUUGGGGACCACUUUUAGGAGAAAAAUGACCCAUUAUGAUGGUUUGAUCCUCCUAAUGAAAAUAUCAUUCCUAAACAUUAUGAAUGAACUUUUAUGACAUAUGUUUGGAUGCACAAGUCCUAAAAGUGGACUAAAAGUGAAGUCCUAAAGAUUAUGAGUGUGUAUCCAAACAGGCCCUAAAAUAAAGGACCGGUGAUGUAUAGACACUACAAGUAAACACAAGUAUUUUUGUCCCGUGCUAAAGCGUGGAAUUAUUACGGGUUUAAAUUUUCGAUCCACGACCAAGUAAAAAUACCACGCGGUACUAAAUGUCACCUUUUAGUAUUAGUUGGUGUUAUGAUCCGGUAAUAAUACUCCUGGACUAUUUACCGGGUAAUAACAACAGUAUCCGAUGGAGUACCAUUUAGUACCGGAUGGGCAUUGCGCGAUACUAAAUGGUACUCCACGAGAUACUUCAAAAGAAAAGCAUAUUUAACUUCAUUGCAUGUGUUGUGUAGGUGAGAUGGUAAGGAAGAUUUGCACGAGGCUUGAGGUCGUGAGCUCGAAUCCCACAGACCGUGCAUACGCAUAUUACGUACGAAAUUUAUGUGACUUGUGAUAGGUUCGUUAAUUUUUUCUUUUAUUUUUUGGAUGCAAAGACAUUUAUACUAAAUGGUGCAUUUAGUACUGGGUAUUUUGACCGGUACUAAAUGGCAUGACAUUUGGUACCGAAGAAAUGCGACCGGUACUAGAAGUCGAUCAUCA